AGUGAACGCUGGCGGUAGGCCUAACACAUGCAAGUCGAACGGCAGCACAGUAAGAGCUUGCUCUUACGGGUGGCGAGUGGCGGACGGGUGAGGAAUACAUCGGAAUCUACUUUUUCGUGGGGGAUAACGUAGGGAAACUUAAGCUAAUACCGCAUACGACCUACGGGUGAAAGCAGGGGAUCUUCGGACCUUGCGCGAUUGAAUGAGCCGAUGGCGGAUUGGCUAGUUGGCUGGGUAAAGGCCCACCAAGGCGACGAUCCGUAGCUGGUCUGAGAGGAUGAUCAGCCACACUGGAACUGAGACACCGUCCAGACUCCUACGGGAGGGAGCAGUGGGGAAUAUUGGACAAUGGGCGCAAGCCUGAUCCAGCCAUACCGCGUGGGUGAAGAAGGCCUUCGGGUUGUAAAGCCCUUUUGUUGGGAAAGAAAAGCAGCAGGUUAAUACCCCGCUGUUCUGACGGUACCCAAAGAAUAAGCACCGGCUAACUUCGUG
rnacentral:rRNA from 1 species